GGAAGGGGCAAGCGUUGUUCGGAAUCAUUGGGCGUAAAGGGCGCGUAGGUGGUUCUGUAUGUCUACCGUGAAAGCAUACGGCUCAACUGUAUUUUGUCGGUAGAAACUGCAGGACUUGAGGCUGGGAGGGGCUGGUGGAAUUCCCUGUGUAGCGGUGAAAUGCGUAGAGAUGGGGGAGAACACUCGUGGCGAAGGCGGCCAGCUAGACCAGUUCUGACACUGAGGCGCGACAGCGUGGGGAGCAAACAGGAUUAGAUACCCUGGUAGUCCACGCUGUAAACGAUGGGCACUAGGUGCCGGCGGUCUUGAUCCCGUCGGUGCCGGCGCUAACGCAGUAAGUGCCCCGCCUGGGGAGUACGGUCGCAAGGCUGAA
rnacentral:rRNA from 1 species